rnacentral:lncRNA from 1 species
AAGAAGCAUAAUGAUAUGCCUUUUUUUUUUUAACCUCCCUGGAUAGCUUUGCAAACUUCCUUAUGGGACACGUACACAGACUGCCUGUUUUUCGGGAAAAUAAGUCUUUUGAAAACAUUUCUGUGGACUCAGUCAAGCCAUCUAAUGAACCAGGAAAUUUUUCUCCUGUAGAAUUAGACAAUGUGCUAUUAAAAGACACUGACUGUAUUGAAUUGGCUUUCUCAUAUGCUAAAACAUGGUCAAAAUAUACAAAAAACAUAGUGUCAUGGAUUGAACAAAAGCUUAACUUGGGUGAGUUUUCUUUUGGAGCAUCUGAUUAACU